CUCUUUCCCUGAUAACCAAUUACUGUGGUACAGCACAGGACCUGAGCAAGCAUCCAUAACACCUGAGAUGGCAGUGAUACUCCUGUGAUGGAGGGUAGAUCAUCAGACACAGAUCUGAUAAUUAGGGACUGUCAUGGUCGUGGAAGGCUGGCCCCCUCCUUGGAUGCCACAGAGCAAAAAGCUCUUGGUCACACAGGGAGUGUUGUGUUGAGAUGGACGAGAUGGUGAUGCCACAGACUCACUCCAUGGCUUUGGGUAAGCCACCCAACAUUCAUCUACCCAACGAUAAAGAGUCCUAUCUUCUCGAUCCAAAAUGGAGCCAGAUGUGUUGGGAGUCAGCUCCUAACUUCACAGGGUAUGAGUCAAAAUGUGCAGCUCGCCGCCUGGAACUCCGGUGA
rnacentral:lncRNA from 1 species